rnacentral:rRNA from 1 species
UACGGGGGUGGCAAGCGUUGUUCGGAAUCACUGGGCAUAAAGCGUACGUAGGCGGCGCCGUAAGUGUCGGAUGAAAUCCCACGGCUUACCCGUGGAACGGUCCGGCAUACUGCGGUGCUAGAGGAUGGUAGAGGAGAGCGGAACUCUUGGUGGAGCGGUGAAAUGCGUAGAUAUCAAGAGGAACACCGGUGGCGAAGGCGGCUCUCUGGUCCAUGUCUGACGCUGAGGUACGAAAGCCAGGGGAGCAAACGGG